AUAAACCUACAGGGGGCAGCAGUGGGGAAUAUUGCGCAAUGGGGGAAACCCUGACGCAGCAACGCCGCGUGAGUGAAGAAGUAUCUCGGUAUGUAAAGCUCUAUCAGCGGGGAAGAAGGAAGACGGUACCCGACUAAGAAGCCCCGGCUAACUACGUGCCAGCAGCCGCGGUAAUACGUAGGGGGCGAGCGUUAUCCGGAUUUACUGGGUGUAAAGGGAGCGUAGACGGCGGCGCAAGUCUGAAGUGAAAGCCCGUGGCUCAACCGCGGAACCGCUUUGGCAACUGCGAGGCUGGCGUGCUGGAG
rnacentral:rRNA from 1 species